GAAGUUGAAUUAGGGUUUAUGUGAGAUGAAAUCGUCUGAGGAUUUAUGAGAAACUGAAUAGGAAAUCAAGUAAUUGAUGAUGGUUAUUGUGUGUAGAACUCAAAGAAGAUGAGUUAGAAUUUAAUUCUCAAACUUCAUAGAAGAAUUGAAGAAUCCGGGUUUCUUAGAGGAUUAAUUCAAAGUGGAUUUAGUGAUGUACAAGAUGAAUUGAGGACUGGGUUUAGAUGAUUGAGGAACGGGAUGAAGUUAAUUGGUUGAUACGAGUUGUUCGAAGAAAUUAGGGUUUAUGUUCUUCCCCAAAAUAGAAAUUAGGUUUUCAGAAGAAUUGAUAUGGUGAGGUAGCUGUUCAGAGGGUGCUGAAAAUUGGGUAAACCAAUAAACAAUCUUAAUUCUAGUAUUUUGAUUUGAAUCGUUUUAAUUAUUGGAUUUAUGAAUAAGAAUUGAGAUUGGAUAAGUUUAAUUGAGCUAAUGGAGGUUCUGGUUGUGUGUGAUUGGAUUAGAUAAAUGUUAAGAUGUUACAGAGAUGAUGGAGGUGGUAACUGUGAAGAGAAUAUGUUUAAGUUAGGACUGAAUUGUUAUUGCAGAUGGAACAAGCUUGAUAUGGGUGAACUUGAGUUACAUGAUUGUUAACUUAAGAAGGAUAAGAGUGACUGGUGUUUGUGUAGUUGAAAUUGCAGAACUGAAGACUGUUGUGAUGAUGUUAGUUCAGUUAGGGAAUUAGUCUUACAGUUGAUGAUGGUGUGUCUUUAUAUAUGAGAUUGUAAGUGUUGUUCUGGGAAUUUAGGCUGGAAUUAUGAUGACGAUGCUAUUGUAGAGGGAAGAAUAUUACAGGUGGUGAUGGAGAUGUCUGGGUUGUUGGUGUUGAUGAUGUAGAUGGUUGUACUGAGGUACAAGUUGUAGUGGUGAUGUUGAAGUUACAAGGGAUAUCAAUGGCUGGUGGAAGUGUAGAAACCAUAGGUGCUGGUGUUGUUGUAAUGAAAUGGUAGGGGUAUGAGUGUUUGUUUUGGUAAUAUGAAGAAAGGGUUGUUAGAGGAGGUGUUGUCUGUGUAGUGGAAUUUGAGAUGGAGAUAUGUAGCUGUAAAGAAGAUGUUGUUAGAAUGAAAAUGGUGUUGUUUUGUUGGCGACAAUUAAUGGGACAUGAGUGAAUUGUGUAGGUCUGGGAAGUGAUAUUAAAGAGUGUUGCUUAAGUUGAAUUAGAUGUUGCUUAAAGCUGCAAUUGCAGUUUCAGAGACAGAUCAGAGUUGCGUAGCGGAAGCUUCGAGGAGUUGAGUUCGUUAGUUGAUUAACUUCGACUAUGAUUACUAUGUUGUAUAUUUUAUUUGGAAAUUGAAUGAUUAUUGUUAUAUGUAUCAUUUGAGAGAAGUUCUUGUAUAUACAUAUUUUAGAGUGGGGUUAGUUUUUGGGUUUAGUUUUGUAGCAGAUUUCUUAAUGGAAUGUUUAAGUAUAUGAUUUGGA